UGCGUAGGCGGAAUAUUAAGUCAGUGGUGAAAUCCCAGAGCUCAACUCUGGAACUGCCAUUGAUACUGGUCUUCUUGAAUAUAGUUGAGGUAGGCGGAAUGUGUAAUGUAGCGGUGAAAUGCUUAGAUAUUACACAGAACACCGAUUGCGAAGGCAGCUUGCUAAACUAUGAUUGACGCUGAGGCACGAAAGCGUGGGGAGCGAACAGGAUUAGAUACCCUGGUAGUCC
rnacentral:rRNA from 1 species